rnacentral:rRNA from 1 species
UACGUAGGGUACUAGCGUUGUCCGGAAUUAUUGGGCGUAAAGAGCUCGUAGGCGGUUGGUCGCGUCUGCUGUGGAAACGCAUCGCUUAACGGUGCGCGUGCAGUGGGUACGGGCCGACUGGAGUGCAGUAGGGGAGUCUGGAAUUCCUGGUGUAGCGGUGAAAUGCGCAGAUAUCAGGAGGAACACCGGUGGCGAAGGCGGGACUCUGGGCUGUUACUGACGCUGAGGAGCGAAAGCAUGGGGAGCGAAC